AGGUAAUGUAACAAAAUCAUAGGAGUGGCAAUCUAUGAUCUUUUCCAUAUUUUGUUGGUUAAAAGCAAGUCACAGGUCCUACCCACACCCAAGCAAGGAGGAUUACACAACGGUAUAGACGAGGAGGUGGGGAUCAUGGGGCUUACCUAGUUAAUCAGAACAUAACAAGAAAGAGAAAGCCAUCUCAACUCCAGAAAAUGACAUUGAUCCCAUCUGGAAAAGUGCUCAGAAUAGUGACUCUUCACUGGUCAGUGGAAGAUAUUGAUGUUGCUGAAAACAUUCUUUUGGGAUGAAGCAGCCAUGAAGUUUCCUGCUCAGAACUCCCUUCAAAAGAACCUUCUGCAGGAAGCAUAGUUGGCUGUCAGCCUUCAGCUGCCACCCUUUUUGAUGAAUCAAGGUGGUCAACCGUGGCCACGGUUACCUUGUGCUCUACCAACUCAAUGACGAAACUCUCCCCAAAUGGAGAGUUUAAGUGAAACUGUCACAAAAGUAUUGUUGAUAAGUGAUUUUUAAAUAUAAAUUAAACAAAAGACAAAGAACUUAA